rnacentral:rRNA from 1 species
UGAAUGGCUGGAUGAGGGAUUAACUAUUUUAUUUUAAUAAGUUGAAAUUUAAUUUUUAGUAAAAAUGCUAAAAUAAUUGUAUAAGACGAGAAGACCCUUUAAAUCUUUAUUAUUUUACUUAUAGUUUAUUAUUUAAUAUUAUUUAUUAAUAUAAAUAUAAUAAUUUUAUUGGGGCGAUAUUGAAAUUUUAUUAACUUUCAAAAUUUUUUUCAUAAAUAAAUGAAUUUUUGAUCCAUUAGUAAUGAUUAAUAAAUUAAGUUACUUAAGGGAUAACAGCG